rnacentral:sRNA from 1 species
GCCAGGCUCUGCGGUGCUCACCUGUGAUCCCAGCACUCGGGAGGCUGAGGCAGGAGGAUCUCUUAAGCUCAGGAGCUAGACAUGAUCCUGGACAGCACAGACAGAUUCCAUCUCAA